GCCUAUGGGGUAUGCUACCUUGAACAAGCCCAAUCCUGUCUGAUAUCGGAAGCUAAGCAGGGUCGGGCCUGGUUAGCACUUGGAUGGGAGACCACCUAGAAAGACUAGAUGCUGUAGGCG
rnacentral:rRNA from 1 species